UAUUUUAUGGUGAUAUUUAAAUGCUCUGCGCGCCUAAACGAGCCUAACGGUUCCUCACAGAUUUGAACUGCUGUGCAGCAGACCAUGAUGGUGCAGACGCGGAAAAGACCAGAAAGAGAUAUUUUCUUUCACUCACAAAGCGGAGCAGACGGUGAAGUUGGUUUUAACAAGGAAAACACGGAAAAUGGAAACUGCAGAGAACCAUAUCCUGUCGUCCUGACAAAAAGAAAGAGAAUACUUUCUCCAAGGAGGUCCAAACGCCAUUGGCACAGACUUUGUUCAGUGAUCAGUAACAUACAUUCAGCCAGGGCC